CCUACGGGCGGCAGCAGUGAGGAAUAUUGGUCAAUGGGCGCACGCCUGAACCAGCCAAGUCGCGUGAGGGAAGACGGUCCUAUGGAUUGUAAACCUCUUUUGUCGGGGAGCAAAAGGCGCCACGCGUGGCGUUCCGAGGGUACCCUAAGAACAAGCAUCGGCUAACUCCGUGCCAGCAGCCGCGGUAAUACGGGGGAUGCGAGCGUUAUCCGGAUUUAUUGGGUUUAAAGGGUGCGCAGGCGGAAGAUCAAGUCAGCGGUAAAAUUGGGCGGCUCAACCUCUUCGAGCCGUUGAAACUGGUGUGCUUGAGUGAGUGAGAAGUAUGCGGAAUGCGUGGUGUAGCGGGGAAAUGCAUAGAUAUCACGCAGAACUCCGAUUGCGAAGGCAGCAUACCGGCGCUCAACUGACGCUUAUGCACGAAAGUGUGGGUAUCGAACAGGAUUAGAUACCCCUGUAGUC
rnacentral:rRNA from 1 species